rnacentral:rRNA from 1 species
AUUGAACGCUGGCGGCAGGCCUAACACAUGCAAGUCGAGCGGCUGCACAGUACUUGCUCCUGGUUUCAGCUGCGGACGGGCGAGUGAUUCCUAGGAAUCUCCCUGUUUACGGUGUCUAGCGUCCUGACGCGGGCGCUCUUACCCCAUUCCCCCAUACGGCGUACGGGUGGAAUCAUCGGACCUCCGGCUCUCGGAUGAGCCUAGGUGGGAUUAGCUAGUUGGUGGGGUAAAGGCCUACCAAGGCGACGAUCCGUAACUGGUCUGAGAGGAUGAUCGGCCACACUGGAACUGAGACACGGUCCAGACUCCUACGGGAGGCAGCAGUGGGGAAUAUUGGACAAUGGGCGAAAGCCUGAUCCAGCCAUGCCGCGUGGGUGAAGAAGGUCUUCGGAUUGUAAAGCACUUUUAGUGGGGAGGAAGGGCAGUAAGUUAAUACCUCGCUGUUUUGACGGUACCAACAGAAUAAGCACCGGCUAACUUCGUG